rnacentral:rRNA from 1 species
UACGAAGGGGGCUAGCGUUGCUCGGAAUCACUGGGCGUAAAGGGUGCGUAGGCUGGUCUUUAAGUCAGGGGUGAAAUCCUGGAGCUCAACUCCAGAACUGCCUUUGAUACUGAAGAUCUUGAGUUCGGGAGAGGUGAGUGGAACUGCGAGUGUAGAGGUGAAAUUCGUAGAUAUCGGAAGGAACACCAGUGGCGAAAGCGGCUUCCUGGUCCAGCAUCGACGUUCAGGCACGAAAGCGUGGGGAGCAAACAGG